CCUACGGGCGGCUGCAGUGAGGAAUAUUGGUCAAUGGGCGUAAGCCUGAACCAGCCAAGUCGCGUGAGGGAUGAAGGUUCUAUGGAUCGUAAACCUCUUUUAUAAGGGAAUAAAGUGCGGGACGUGUCCCGUUUUGUCUGUACCUUAUGAAUAAGGAUCGGCUAACUCCGUGCCAGCAGCCGCGGUAAUACGGAGGAUCCGAGCGUUAUCCGGAUUUAUUGGGUUUAAAGGGUGCGUAGGCGGCCUUUUAAGUCAGCGGUGAAAGUCUGUGGCUCAACCAGAGAAUUGCCGUUGAAACUGGAAGCCUUGAGUAUAUUAGAGGCAGGCGGAAUGCGUGGUGUAGCGGUGAAAUGCUUAGAUAUCACGCAGAACCCCGAUUGCGAAGGCAGCCUGCCAAGCCAUGACUGACGCUGAUGCACGAAAGCGUGGGUAUCAAACAGGAUUAGAUACCCGUGUAGUC
rnacentral:rRNA from 1 species